rnacentral:rRNA from 1 species
CCCUUAGAUGUUCUGGGCCGCACGCGCGCUACACUGAUGCAUUCAACGAGCCUAUCCUUGACCGACAGGUCCGGGUAAUCUUUGAAUCUGCAUCGUGACGGGGAUAGAUUAUUGCAAUUAUUAAUCUUCAACGAGGAAUGCCUAGUAGGCGCAAGUCAUCAGCUUGCGUCGAUUACGUCCCUGCCCUUUGUACACACCGCCCGCCGCUCCUACCGAUUGGGUGUGCUGGUGAAAUGUUCGGAUCGGCCGUUUGUCGCGGUUUCCGCGGCUCGUGGCUGAGAAGUUCAUUAAACCCUCCCACCUAGAGGAAGGAGAAGUCGUAACA